GAUGAAGAACGUAGCGAAAUGCGAUACGUAAUGUGAAUUGCAGAAUUCAGUGAAUCAUCGAAUCUUUGAACGCAUAUUGCGCUCUCUGGUAUUCCGGAGAGCAUGCUUGUUUGAGUAUCAGUAAACACCUCAACUUCCAUAUCUUUUUUGAAAUGGGAGUUGGACUUGAGUGAUCCCAACGCUUUUCCUCACCGAAAAGUGGCGGGUUACUUGAAAUGCAGGUGCAGCUGGACUUUUCUCUGAGCUAUAAGCAUAUCUAUUUAGUCUGCCUAAAAAACAGAUUAUUACCUUUGCUGCAGCUAACAUAAAGGAGAUUAGUUCUUGUGCUGACUGAUGCAGGAUUCACAAAGACAGGCUUCGGCCGACUUUGUAAACUCGAUCUCAAAUCAAGUAAGACUACCCGCUGAACCUAAGCAUAUCAAUAAGCGGAGGA
rnacentral:misc_RNA from 1 species